GAGAAUCUAGUUAAUUUAUAACAUCACUUUGUCAAGGUGAAAUAACAAGUUAAAACCCUGUGUUUCUCU
rnacentral:tRNA from 1 species